rnacentral:rRNA from 1 species
UACGUAGGUCCCGAGCGUUGUCCGGAUUUAUUGGGCGUAAAGCGAGCGCAGGUGGUUUAUUAAGUCUGGUGUAAAAGGCAGUGGCUCAACCAUUGUAUGCAUUGGAAACUGGUAGACUUGAGUGCAGGAGAGGAGAGUGGAAUUCCAUGUGUAGCGGUGAAAUGCGUAGAUAUAUGGGGGAACACCGGUGGCGAAAGCGGCUCUCUGGCCUGUAACUGACACUGAGGCUCGAAAGCGUGGGGAGCAAACAGG